UCUACAUUUUCUGGGUCAAGAAAUUAUUUAUAGCUAUUGAGAAUAUCAUUAGAUGAUUAUUUGAUCAAAUAGAUAUGUUCAUUUUCACCCAGACUGGUAGGUCUUCAAGUGCUGCAGCAGGGAAUCCUGAGCUGAAAAUGUUUGGACUUUCAUCUCAUGUCAGAUCUUGAUCAACACAUUAUUUACAGUGAGUCA